UUCAUCAAAAAUCCUAGUUAAUUGGGCCUUAAUUCGUGAUGAACUCCCCGACGGGUUCUUGAGGUGCAUGGCGGUGAUUUGCCAUUCCCGAAGCCAACUCCAUCAAUUACCACCACCAAUAGGCUCCCCUCAACCUUAGGAACAAAGCCCAAGCAGUGGUGGAGGCGUCGGAGCGAGUAUGGAGAUCGAAUCGAAGCAUACCCAAUUCUAGGGUUCCGGCGGUUCGUGGGCGAUUUCAGUUGUUUCCCAGACGAAUUGGACUUUGGCCCAGGAGUUAGAAUUGAGGCAUUCGAUCCCAACGUCAAACCAUUUCCGCAUAGUCAUCACGGUCCACAAAAUAAAGACUCUGGGAAAGUAGGACUGUAAGAACAUUUCAUGCACCAAAUGGUCAAUCAUCUCGGUCAAAUGGAAUUCGUGAAAAAUCAUUUUGAGCUGAAGAAAUUGCAUGUUGGGCAUCACUGAAAGAUAGGGUUCUUUCUGUCGUUUAUCCACUGCUCAUCACAAUCAGAGGGGGACCAUAUUUAACGUCUCCACCAUACUGUACGGAAAGGGAAUGGUUGGGGUGGCAGCUUUCAAGUGCUGCAGUACCAGCCACCCAACUCCAAAGGGGUUAUUCAUGAAGGUUUUUCAAUUAUAUAUAAUAAGAACAUUGGAAUUACAGGUUAGUGUCGAGAAGCAAUGUACUUGAAUGGCUGGCCACUUUCUCGAAUCUAGCUAGUGGAUGG